UCCAUUUCCACUCGGAAUGUGAGUCUCAUGGAAACAGAGAUUUUGCUAUUCUGUUUAUUGCAAUGCUGCUAACACCUUUGAAAAGUACCUGAUACAUGGUAGAUGCUGAAUAAAUGUUGGCUGAAGGAUGGACCAAUUAAUAUAUGAGUUAUACUGUAUUUGCUUAAUAGAUUUCAAUGCUUUUGGAACACAUAUUAUUGUUAAAGUUAAUUAGGUUAAAAAUCGAUUGCUUUUGGUGAAUUCAGUACUAAAAUUGCUGUAACUUUUUCUCUUUAAGAGUUUUGGAAGUUUUGAUGAGAAGAGUUAAUUAUGGUUAAUACCUCAUAAAACACAUGUCAAUUUCAGCAAACAGAAACAUUCACACUUCAUCAGUUCUUAUUUUAUGACUCUUGACAGGUUCUAAGAUGCUGCUAUAGCACUGAUGAUGGUGGUGAUCAUGGAGGAGGAUGAUAGUAGGUAAUAUUUACUGAACAGUUUUUUGCUAGUCACCAUGCCUGGAAUUGGGAUGAGUAAUGCUGAAGGCCAGCUGGGCUGCUUUUUCCACAAUGGCUUUGUGGCUCUUGGAGGAGACAUUGUGAGCAAUCUCUGCACAGUAAGACUUGUUGCAUAUCAACAGCACUUCAAGCUCCUUAAAGUUAUCUAGGAGUUUCCGGAAGCCACUGGGCAACAAGUGCUUUGUUUUCUUGUUGCUCGCGUAACCAAUGUUGGGCAUCAAGAUCGGGCCCUCAAUCUUCAGUUCACCCUAUUGUUAAUGCCUCUGGGUUUUCACCAAUUGCAUUGAAUUUUGACAUAUCGCUGUGACUGGUGCCAGAUGAACUUCUUGGUUCUCUUUUUAAUGAUCUUGUGCUUCAUCAGACGUCUGAAAGCAGCCAUGAUGCCCAGUAACAGAUGGAUGCCAACUCCCCAAGAACAUUCUUUACAACACUUUUCCCCAGUGUAGGAUCCAAUGCUAGUAUCACAUAUUAUAUGUAAUUGUCCUAUCUCUUUGUAUUUUUAGAAGAUUUCCUCAGUCAUUUUUGCUUUCAUAAUAUUAACAUUUUUUAAAGUAGACAGGCUAGUUUUAUGGAAUGAGCCUCAAUUUGGGUUUGUCUGUUUCCUCAUGUAGAUUCUGGUGUCCUUCUUUGGCAAGAACUUUAUGUAUGUGAUGUGCCCUCUGUGAAUCACCUCAGAGGUUUCAAUUUGUAUAAGUAGUAGUGAUAUUAACUUUGAUCUCUUGAUUAAGGUGUUACCAUGAUUUUCCCUUAUAAAUAGCAUUUUUCCUUUGGAAUUAAACCAAACCAUGAGGAGGUACUUUGGAAAUGUGUGGGCAUCCCAUCAAAUAGUCACAACAUGAUUUUGGCACCCCCUAAUGAUUCUUGUAUGAGUCAAUUAUUGCUGUAUGGUUGGAAAUUUUUCUAAUCCCCCUUUCAUUCCUUCUGCAUUUUUUAUUUGGCAUUUUCCACAUCAUUUUUUGAACAAUUGGUUUACUUUCUGGCAUUAUAAGAUAUUCCAGGCUCAUCUUAUACUUAUUCUCCUCAAACCCUAGGAUCAGUCAUUUCUCCAAGUAGCCCUGGUACUUUUACUGGGUAAUGGUAUCUUGGAACCAAUAUUUGGAUGGUAGGUGUACUCAUUGGUACUGGAGUGUCAUUGCACAUACAUACAUCUUAAUGCUGCUAUCAAGGGACAUGUGUUAUGAACACCAACCAAGUGAACCUUAAGGGUACAUCAUUUGGAUAGUAACCACCAGUUACAAAGAGCUAAAAUCUAGUUUAAAUCAUUGUUAUAAAAACUGUUAUUAGUUUAAUAAGCAAUGUAUAACUAUACAAGAUUGCAUAAUCUUUUAAAGUAAUCUUGAGAGGAAUAAUCAAUUCUCAUUUCUCAACUAAGAAUCAGUUGGUUGAUAAUCCAGAUUUUUGAGAUUGUGUUUUGAAAUUGUUGAUUAUAAGAAUACUGUAACUCUGGAGAUGGUGUCAAAGUUAGUAUUUCUGUAAUACUAGCAAUUUGUAAGGAGGUGUAGAAAUAAUAGAUGAGUCAAGCACAUGUUACUGCUAUAGAACAAGCUUAAGUCUAGGUGUAGUUACACGGUUUGAAAACAUUGUAUUUCUGUAUGUUGUGUUUACUGAUUAGGAUGUUUGAAAUGUUCAAAAGAAUUAGGCUAAAUUUUUAAGUCUGUUCUAAAUCUUUGAAGGAGAUUUAAUUACUUUUAUAAUAAAGCUUGAAAUAUUUAAGGAAAUUUAACUUAU
rnacentral:lncRNA from 1 species